rnacentral:rRNA from 1 species
AGUGAACGCUGGCGGUAGGCCUAACACAUGCAAGUCGAACGGCAGCACAGUAAGAGCUUGCUCUUACGGGUGGCGAGUGGCGGACGGGUGAGGAAUACAUCGGAAUCUACUUUUUCGUGGGGGAUAACGUAGGGAAACUUACGCUAAUACCGCAUACGACCUACGGGUGAAAGCAGGGGAUCUUCGGACCUUGCGCGAUUGAAUGAGCCGAUGUCGGAUUAGCUAGUUGGCGGGGUAAAGGCCCACCAAGGCGACGAUCCGUAGCUGGUCUGAGAGGAUGACCAGCCACACUGGACCUGAGACACGGUCCAGCUCCCUACGGGAGGCAGCAGUGGGAAUAUUGGACAAUGGGCGCAAGCCUGAUCCAGCCAUACCGCGUGGGUGAAGAAGGCCUUCGGGUUGUAAAACCCUUUUGUUGGGAAAGAAAAGCAGCAGGUUAAUACCCCGCUGUUCUGACGGUACCCAAAGAAUAAGCACCGGCUAACUUCGUG